rnacentral:lncRNA from 1 species
GACCUGAUUCUCAGUGACGGCAGGCUGCUAGCAGUCAUUGCUCGAUUUGCAGCUUAUAACCUCCAAUGUCCGCUUUUAUCGAGUAAUUCUUUUAAUAAUCCACAAACUGGAAUGUACAAUGUUAUUUUUCGACAAACAUUACACCAUGGGAGGAACCAAUCAGCCUAGUGUGUAUGCCAAACAGGUUGCAGUAACAACAGCCAACAGAUACCCACAACCUCUGGUUUGUCACUUUCCAGUUCCUACCAACUUCUGAAAUCUAUCAAAAUCUGGAAAGAAAAUUGUAUCCUGCUUUAGGAAGCUUUGUUAGCAGCAGGAUUUCUUCCGAAUUGUAUGAUCAUUGGUUUUCCUUUGAACACAUAGCCAUGCGCUAGAUUCUGCAAAACCAUAAGGGGCGAUUCGGUUAUUACGGAAUGGAGGCCUAGAACGAUUUCAAUUUCUAAUCGGAUUGCUUCUCUAAUUUAUAUAAGUUUUGAUACAUAGGAACGACCUGAUUCUCAGUGACGGCAGGCUGCUAGCAGUCAUUGCUCGAUUUGCAGCUUAUAACCUCCAAUGUCCGCUUUUAUCGAGUAAUUCUUUUAAUAAUCCACAAACUGGAAUGUACAAUGUUAUUUUUCGACAAACAUUACACCAUGGGAGGAACCAAUCAGCCUAGUGUGUAUGCCAAACAGGUUGCAGUAACAACAGCCAACAGAUACCCACAACCUCUGGUUUGUCACUUUCCAGUUCCUACCAACUUCUGAAAUCUAUCAAAAUCUGGAAAGAAAAUUGUAUCCUGCUUUAGGAAGCUUUGUUAGCAGCAGGAUUUCUUCCGAAUUGUAUGAUCAUUGGUUUUCCUUUGAACACAUAGCCAUGCGCUAGAUUCUGCAAAACCAUAAGGGGCGAUUCGGUUAUUACGGAAUGGAGGCCUAGAACGAUUUCAAUUUCUAAUCGGAUUGCUUCUCUAAUUUAUAUAAGUUUUGAUACAUAGGAACGACCUGAUUCUCAGUGACGGCAGGCUGCUAGCAGUCAUUGCUCGAUUUGCAGCUUAUAACCUCCAAUGUCCGCUUUUAUCGAGUAAUUCUUUUAAUAAUCCACAAACUGGAAUGUACAAUGUUAUUUUUCGACAAACAUUACACCAUGGGAGGAACCAAUCAGCCUAGUGUGUAUGCCAAACAGGUUGCAGUAACAACAGCCAACAGAUACCCACAACCUCUGGUUUGUCACUUUCCAGUUCCUACCAACUUCUGAAAUCUAU